rnacentral:rRNA from 1 species
UACGUAGGGUGCAAGCGUUGUCCGGAAUUAUUGGGCGUAAAGAGCUCGUAGGCGGUCUGUCGCGUCUGGUGUGAAAAUCCAGGGCUUAACCCUGGACCUGCAUCGGGUACGGGCAGACUAGAGUGCGGUAGGGGAGAUCGGAAUUCCUGGUGUAGCGGUGAAAUGCGCAGAUAUCAGGAGGAACACCGGUGGCGAAGGCGGAUCUCUGGGCAACAACUGACGCUGAGGAGCGAAAGCGUGGGGAGCGAACAGG